rnacentral:rRNA from 1 species
CAUCCAGACUCCUACGGGAGGCAGCAGUGGGGAAUAUUGCACAAUGGGGGGAACCCUGAUGCAGCGACGCCGCGUGGGCGAGGAAGUAUUUCGGUAUGUAAAGCCCUAUCGGCAGGGAAGAAGAAAUGACGGUACCUGAAUAAGAAGCACCGGCUAAAUACGUGCCAGCAGCCGCGGUAAUACGUAUGGUGCAAGCGUUAUCCGGAUUUACUGGGCGUAAAGGGAGCGUAGGUGGCAUGGCAAGCCAGAGGUGAAAACCCGGGGCUUAACCCCGCGGAUUGCUUUUGGAACUGUCAGGCUGGAGUGCAGGAGGGGCAGGCGGAAUUCCUGGUGUAGCGGUGAAAUGCGUAGAUAUCAGGAGGAACACCGGUGGCGAAGGCGGCCUGCUGGACUGUAACUGACACUGAGGCUCGAAAGCGUGGGGAGCAAACAGGAUUAGAUACCCCAGUA